rnacentral:rRNA from 1 species
ACUACGGGUGGCUGCAGUGGGGAAUAUUGGGCAAUGGGCGCAAGCCUGACCCAGCAACGCCGCGUGAAGGAAGAAGGCUUUCGGGUUGUAAACUUCUUUUGACAGGGACGUAGCAAGUGACGGUACCUGACGAAUAAGCCACCGCUAACGACGUGCCAGCAGCCGCUGUAAUACGUAGGUGGCAAGCGUUAUCCGGAUUUACUGGGUGUAAAGGGCGUGUAGGCGGGGAGGUAAGUCAGAUGUGAAAAUCACUGGCUCAACCUGUGUACUGCAUUUGAAAUUGUUUUUCGUGAGUGCUGGAGAGGCAAUCGGAAUUCGGUGUGUAGCGGUGAAAUGCGUAGAUAUACCGAGGAACACCAGUGGCGAAGGCGGAUUGCUGGACAGUAACUGACGCUGAGGCGCGAAAGCGUGGGGAGCAAACAGGAUUAGAUACCCUGGUAGUC